rnacentral:tRNA from 1 species
UCACUGGUGGUCUAGUGGUUAGGACUCUGCACUUUCACUGCUGGGGUCCUGGGUUCAAUCUCUAGUUGGGGAG